AGAGUUUGAUUAUGGCUCAGGAUGAACGCUGGCGGCGUGCCUAACACAUGCAAGUCGAGCGGAGAUAUAGAGAGAUUCUUCGGAUACUUUCUUUAUCUUAGCGGCGGAUGGGUGAGUAACACGUGGGUAACCUGCCCUGCACAGGGGGAUAACAGCUGGAAACGGCUGUUAAUACCGCAUAUGCACACGCUGCCGCAUGGCAGAGGGUGGAAAGAUUUAUCGGUGCAGGAUGGGCCCGCGUCGGAUUAACUAGUUGGCAGGGUAACGGCCUACCAAGGUUAUGAUCCGUAGCCGACCUGAGAGGGUGACCGGCCACAUUGGGACUGAGACACGGCCCAAACUCCUACGGGAGGCAGCAGUGGGGGAUAUUGCACAAUGGGCGGAAGCCUGAUGCAGCGACGCCGCGUGAAGGAAGAAGUAUUUCGGUAUGUAAACUUCUAUCAGCGGGGAAGAAGAUGACGGUACCCGACUAAGAAGCCCCGGCUAACUACGUGCCAGCAGCUGC
rnacentral:rRNA from 1 species